rnacentral:rRNA from 1 species
CAGUCGCCGCGGUAAUCCGUAGGGUGCAAGCGUUAAUCGGAAUUACUGGGCGUAAAGCGUGCGCAGGCGGUUCGCUAAGACAGAUGUGAAAUCCCCGAGCUUAACCUGGGAACUGCAUUUGUGACUGGCGGGCUAGAGUAUGGCAGAGGGGGGUAGAAUUCCACGUGUAGCAGUGAAAUGCGUAGAGAUGUGGAGGAAUACCGAUGGCGAAGGCAGCCCCCUGGGCCAAUACUGACGCUCAUGCACGAGAGCGUGGGGAGCAAACAGGAUUAGAUACCCCCGUAGUCCCUGUCUCUUAUCA